CCUGAUGCAGCAACGCCGCGUGAAGGGACGACGGCCUUCGGGUUGUAAACCUCUUUUAGCAGGGAAGAAGCGAAAGUGACGGUACCUGCAGAAAAAGCGCCGGCUAACUACGUGCCAGCAGCCGCGGUAAACGUAGGGCGCAAGCGUUAUCCGGAAUUAUUGGGCGUAAAGAGCUCGUAGGCGGUCUGUCGCGUCUGCUGUGAAAACCCGAGGCUCAACCUCGGGCCUGCAGUGGGUACGGGCAGACUAGAGUGCGGUAGGGGAGAUUGGAAUUCCUGGUGUAGCGGUGGAAUGCGCAGAUAUCAGGAGGAACACCGAUGGCGAAGGCAGAUCUCUGGGCCGUAACUGACGCUGAGGAGCGAAAGGGGGGGAGAAACAGGCUUAAAACCCUGUAGUCCACCCCGUAAACGUUGGAACUAGUUGUGGGGACAUUCCACGUCUCCGGAC
rnacentral:rRNA from 1 species